AUUGAACGCUGGCGGCAUGCCUUACACAUGCAAGUCGAACGGUAACAGGUCUUCGGACGCUGACGAGUGGCGAACGGGUGAGUAAUACAUCGGAACGUGCCCAGUCGUGGGGGAUAACUACUCGAAAGAGUAGCUAAUACCGCAUACGAUCUGAGGAUGAAAGCGGGGGACCUUCGGGCCUCGCGCGAUUGGAGCGGCCGAUGGCAGAUUAGGUAGUUGGUGGGAUAAAAGCUUACCAAGCCGACGAUCUGUAGCUGGUCUGAGAGGACGACCGGCCACCUUGGGACUGGGGCACGGCCCAGACGCCUACGGGAGGCAGCAGUGGGGAAUUUUGGACAAUGGGCGAAAGCCUGAUUCAGCAAUGCCGCGUGCAGGAUGAAGGCCUUCGGGUUGUAAACUGCUUUUGUACUGAACGAAAAAGCUCCUUCUAAUACAGGGGGCCCAUGACGGUACCGUAAGAAUAAGCACCGGCUAACUACGUGCCAGCCGCCGCAGUAA
rnacentral:rRNA from 1 species